UCCACAUAUGCCAUUAAUGGCAGGAGACACCCAACGCCCACGUGUGUGUAACAGUAUGACAUUACAAUGGUCUCGUUUACAGCACAGACAGCCUACUUCACUUGAGCGCCUACAUCAUAAAGGAAGAACCGGCAGAAGACGCUUACGGUCUAUACUUUUCUCACAAGAAUAACCAGACUAUUACUGAAAACAAUGCAAGUGGCUUUAGCAAACAUUCUCAAUAUGUAUAUGAGUAAAAUGAGUAAAAAGCGUUGCCACAACUGAGAUGGUACUUGGCACCCGUUGUAACGAAGGUGGACAAAACGUCAAGGGCAAGAAUUUCUAAGGCGGGUAUAAAAAGGGAGCGCGCGCCUGCCACGGGCGCUCUCGCCCCAGAUUAAAUCCCACGGUUGUCCAAAGCGUCUUGAACCUUUCAAGAUUAGGGAGGGAGCAGACAUGGCCGACUCGCUAAGGAGGCUGGUGAACACAUCUUCCUUCAGCGUUCUACAGGACAAACUUGAGUCCUGGUACAAGGACUACCAUGUCAUCUCCUGUGAUCAGAAUCUGAACAGGUGCUGUGAAUUGGUAGAGCUCACCUCCAAGAUACAGGGUCAACUCUUCACCAUCCUCAACUUCACUGCUAGAGAGGGUGGUCACUAUGCAGGAGUGGAUGUGCUCAAAUCACGCCUGCUGCCUUGGUUGGGGACUUGUUUCUCCAUGGCAACCUCCUCUGUCACCAACGACACCAGCCUCAACCUCAUCCAGGAGUCCGUGGAGAAGGAGAGGAAGAUCAGAGAGCUGUCUGCCUCCCAUGAGAACGACAUGCAGAAGAUGGAGACUCAGCUGUGCUCCACUCACCUACAGCUGGACUCUGUCAAACAGGAACUGGCAGAUGCUCAUCUGCAGCUGGACAACACAAAAAAUAUGUCAGCCACAACUCUGCUGGCUACCGAGGAUGAGAUACUACAGCUGAAAGCAGAGUUGCGUGCGUCCCGUGACCAGGUGGAGACCUAUAAGAGGAAGCUGGAUGUUCUGGAUGACUAUGAGAGACAGGUGCGUCUGCUGAGGGAUGAGGUGUCUUUCCUCACAGCAGAGAAGAGCAUGCUGCAGGAGAGGUUGGUGAGGAGUUGUUCCCCCAGCCCCCUGCCCAGACAGAGCCGCCCCUCCAGCCCUCUGAAGAGUGAGUCUCCCACCCGGGCCCAGCUCACCAAUUCGUCCCGCCAUGCCAGGCUGGUGUCCCGCUUCAGUGACUUGUAUGCUGUGGAGCGCCUGGAGGCCCAGAGUCUGCUCCGACGCUACAUAGACGACCUGGAGAUGGUCCAGAGAAUCCUCUUCAUUGCCACUGUGGAGGCCUUCCAGGCAGCCAAGCUGGCCUACCGUCAAUUCAAGCUGCGAGUAAAGAAGACCCUGUCACCCUCCCACCUGGGGCCGGAGUCCCUGGAGGACUCGGUGGUGGACUAUAUCGUCAGGAACCUGGACCUCUACGACGUGCAGGCCAGUGUUAAUGACGUGAUCAACACCAUGAAUGUAAACCCACGGAUCUCCUUCCCCCCGGAGGUGGACUUUGUCCUGAUCAACAGCUUCAUCCGGGAGACAUGCAGAGUGGCCUUCGCCAUGCAGACACUGGACUCUCCUCUGGACCUGGCUUUCACCAGCGGUGGAGAACUCUACAGCGAUAACAAGUAUCGUCGUAGCUAUGACUCUGAGUUUACUGCUCCUCUGGUGGCGUACCAUGUGUGGCCAGCACUGGUGGAGGGGGACGGUGUCAUAGUGAAGGGAGAGGCAGUCACCAGGAGAGGAGCUCUGUGGAGGAGCAGAAGCAGGAGCUGCAGUCCUGUUCGCUCUGGCAGCCCCACACGCACUCUCGUAAGUUACUACGACGCCUGAGACCUAACACGUUGAAAUAAUGUCACAAAUAUCACAAAACUCUUUGGAAAGAUGAGUCAGCCCAGGGUUUUUAUGAUGCAAGAAAAUAUUCAGGGAAGUUGCGUUUGGGAAAGCACACUAGAUGAAAGCUGUGCAUGUGUGAUUUAGUGUUAAGACUUUUCUUUUGCCACCAAAAUACAUCCAUGCAUACCCUGAGCCCUUGGGGGGUUUAGUCGCAGCAGAAGCCCCUCUCCCGGACGUCUCUCCGCCAGUCGCCUGUAAACCCUAACUGACCACUGAGUUACAAAAGGAAAACAAAAUUCUACACAUCGAUUUCAUGUUUGCAACAAAGACAGAUCUUUAGCUUUAAUGGACUGGAUCCUGUCGUUAUUUGUCAGUUGUGAUGACUUGAUGUUAAGUAGUUAGACUCCGUGUCAAUAUGGACAUUGGUCCAGGGUUUACAGUAUUCUGGAGAGAAGUUCCAUGUUACCAUUACAGUAUCCAGAGACUCUGGCAGCUGGUCCUUUCAGAACAAUCCUUUCAGGGUGCUGUAGCAGCACAUGACAAGGCUGUGUGUGUGUGUGUGCGUGUGUGUGUGUGUGUGUGUGUGUGUGUGUGUGUGUGUGUGUGUGUGUGUGUGUGUGUGCGCGCGCGCUUAAUCUAUCACAUUAUCUUAGUGAUUCUUAACUGUGCACUAUGCAAAACCAGGAUGAUUGUGUGGUUGACCGUAAUGUAACUUUUUAAGGACAUUUAGACCUGCACAGUAUCAUUUUCUGAGACUGUUGUAGUUUAGGUUUUAUCUUUAACCUCAAACCUUGAUAGACUCUGGGUUAUAAAGAAUAUAAUGAAUACAUUUUUAUGUCAUUUUAAUGUAAGUCUUAGCCUGCUUUUUUGUUGGUAGAUUUUUGUUGUUGUUGUAAGACACAUGGUGCUAAAGUUCAGUCAGAACUGUUCAACUCCACAAAAACACGAGAGAUGGUAUUGCUGAGAAUAAUGAUUAAGCAUACAGUUUGUAAAGUAAUCUGUUUUUUGGGGUGUUGUGAUAUUAGCUAGAUGUGUGGUUUGGAUGGAUUUGGAACAAUAGAAGGGAUUUAAAAUGAUACAAAACAUAUUCUGUAACUUCAAAUGGUUGACUUGAGAAAAUAUGCCUUUUUUUGUUAGUCCUAAUGGAGUUGCUUAUUAUCUACUGUACGCACAAGAUCCAAAAGCAACAUAUAACAUAUUUAGGAUAAUUGUUAGGCUGUAAUCAAUGAAAUGUGGAGCCUAAGUAUUGUUCACUAUUUGAAAUCAUUAUACAGUCUAAUCUUUCAUUUAGCAUUAAACAGUGUGUUAGUGUUGUGUAUGCAAAACGUGGUGAUAAACCCAAAAAACUUGGACUCAAAUAUAUAUAAUGUAAUUGUGCUGUUCUUGUUACAGAAUACAAAAAAACUAAAUUAUUUACAGAGAGAUUGUGCCUUUUUAAAGAUAAAAUAAAUAAAUAAAAUCAGAAAAAAGGUUACUAUCAAUUUCUUGUGAUAAUGAAGACUAAUUUAAUUAUUGUCUUCCUUACCCUCAUCCACUGUCAGUAAUUUUUUCCUGCAGUCCUUACCCUCAUCCACUGUCUGUAAUUUUUUCCUGUAGUCCUUACCCUCAUCCACUGUCAGUAAUUUUUUCCUGCAGUCCUUACCCUCAUCCACUGUCUGUAAUUUUUUCCUGCAGUCCUUACCCUCAUCCACUGUCAGUAAUUUUUUCCUGCAGUCCUUACCCUCAUCC